rnacentral:rRNA from 1 species
AGAGUUGAUCAUGGCUCAGGAUGAACGCUAGCUACAGGCUUAACACAUGCAAGUCAGGGGCAGCAUGGAGUUUGCUUGCAAACUCUGAUGGCGACCGGCGCACGGGUGAGUAACGCGUAUCCAACCUUCCCUAUAGUAGAGGAUAGCCCGGCGAAAGUCGGAUUAAUACUCUAUGUUUUCCGUUGCAGACAUCUAAGAUGGAACAAAGGCUUGCCGCUAUAGGAUGGGGAUGCGUCUGAUUAGAUAGUAGGCGGGGUAACGGCCCACCUAGUCGACGAUCAGUAGGGGUUCUGAGGGGAAGGUCCCCCACAUUGGAACUGAGACACGGUCCAAACUCCUACGGGAGGCAGCAGUGAGGAAUAUUGGUCAAUGGGCGAGAGCCUGAACCAGCCAAGUAGCCGUGCAGGAUGACGGCCCUAUGGGUUGUAAACUGCUUUUAUAUGGGGAUAAAGUCACCCACGUGUGGGUGUUUGUAGGUACCAUAUGAAUAAGGACCGGCUAAUUCCGUGCCAGCCGCCGC